AGAGGGUAGAAGGGAAAAUAUGCUAGAAUGUGACGAAGAUAAUAUUGACAGACUUUGGCAACAGAUUAGACAUGGGGAGGUAGGAAAGAAUAAGGAGUCAUAGAUGGCAUCUAGGAUGUGAACCUGGGCAACUGGGACUCUUGACAGUAAUAGUUAGGAAAGAGAAAUUGGGGACAGAUGGGAGGUUAGAAAGAGAAGAAAGUUUAGAGAGAAAGAUGAAUUGAAUUUUGGAUAGACAUUUUGAGUUCAAAAUUUCUCUGGAAUAUUCAGGUCAGGACGUCCAAUAAACAUCUUAUUGGAGAUGUGAAGGUGGAGGUCAGCAAAGAGGUUAUGUCUGGAUAAACAGAUUUGAAAAUCAUCAUAGAGAUAAUAAUUGAAUCCAUGAGAACUGAUGAGAUCACCAAGUGAAGUAGUAUAGAAGGAGAAGAGAAAGGGGGCCCAGAACAGAAAGCUGUGUGUGAUUAGAGCAUCUAUCCUAGAGGAGGAUCUACAAAGGAGCCUGAGAAGUAGUCAGAUAGUUAGGGAGAGAACUAAGAGUGAAUGAUGACCUGAAAACCUAGAAGGAAGAGAGUAUUGAGGCAAUAGCGAAGGUUGCAGAGAGGUGGAAGAAAACAAGGCCGGAGAAAAGGUCAUUGGAUCUGUCAUUGGAAUUUCUCUUCUUUCUUUCUUUCUUUCUUUCUUUCUUUCUUUCUUUCUUUCUUUCUUUCUUUCUUUCUUUCUUUCUUUCUUUCUUUCUUUCUUUCUUUCUUUCUUUCUUUCUUUCUUUCUUUCUUUCUUUCUUUCUUUCUUUCUUUCUUUCUUUCUUUCUUCCUUUCUUUCUUUCUUUCUUUCUUUCUUUCUUUCUUUCUUUCUUUCUUUCUUUCUUUCUUUCUUUCUUUCUUUCUUUCUUUCUUUCUUUCUUUCUUUCUUUCUAUUUAUCACUCUCUUUCUCUCUCUAUUUAUCUCUAUCUUUCUCUCUCUCUCUUUAUCCCCUCUCUUUCUCUCUCUCUCUCUGUGUCUCUGUCUCUGUCUCUCCCUCUGUCUGUCUCUCUCUUUCACACACACACACACAAGCAGAUGCUGAAGUUGGGAUUUGAGCCUAGGCCUUCCAAGAUGCCUCAAAACUCAAGGUUGGGGGGCAGGCCAAGGAGAAUUGUUUCAAAAAUAGAGCUAAGAUGGGAAAGGGUCUCAGGGGCCAUCACAUGCAAUUCUUUUCUAUUACAAGCUCCAAGGAGGUUCAGUGACUUGCCAAAGUCAACCAGGUAAUAAGUGGAAGAGACAGGAUUUGAACCAGGAGCCCACUUGUUUCUGAGGCUUCUUUCCUCCUCCUUGGAGUGGACAGAGCUUUGGGAAGCCCAGGGAUAUCUUCCAGAGGAUGUUAGAUUUGUUAGUCAAGUUGUAGGGAGCCUAACUUUAGGUGACUCCUUUUGAGUUCCCAUGAAGUUCUGAGAAGCUGAUUCCCUUAGCAAGGCUCCUCUCCUUACCAAAGCAAGGGGCACCCCCCCCCCCCAUCUUAGUAGUUAACCUUCAUGAAUUGUUUUGACUUAGUUGAUGAAUCCCUGUACCUCCUCUGAGAGGGAAGGAGAGAAUGUGCAUUUAUUAAGUUUCUACUGUAUGCCAGGCAUGGUGCUAAAUGCAUUGUAAAUACCUCAUUUGGUCCUCACAAUGCUCUGGAAGGUAGGCCUGGUGAUUAUUUCCAUUUUGCAGUCAUGGAAACUAAGGCAGACAGAGAUGAAGUGAUGUGCCCAGGGUCACACAAAUAGUAAAUUUGAACUCCGAUCCAGGCUUAGUGUUCUAUUCAUUGUGCCACCUAGUUGUGGUGGUACCCAUGGUCCAUCAUAGGGCCUGAACCCAAACGUUUCCAGGUGGUUGUAGGGGCAACGAACCCAACUGCCCCCCCCUCCCCUCAUGGAGAAAUCAUUCAUUGUACAUCACUUUGCUGAAAGCAGGGAAAUACUGCAAAGUAGGGACCAGCAGGGGGAGCUCGGACAGUGUCAUUUUGUGGGUAAGCUGGUGGGGGAGGGGAAAGGGAGGAAAGCCAGGUAUCCAGGCAACCGAAGUGGGCCUGAGGAUCCUCAAUUUGGGUACCAACCGCUACAUAAGCUUCCCUCCAGAGGCAGGCGCGUUACCCAGAGCCCCACUGAAUCCCCAAAGCUCUGAUGGAGACCUCAGAACAUGUAAUCCAAGAACCCAGAAUGUCAGAGCCUGGAGGAUUCUCAGAACAGGGAAGAUCCGAGCCCUGAGGCCCUUUUAGAUCCUCAUUUCCCAAUGUGGUACCUGAGGCCUCCAGAAGGGAUUUGGGCCAUCAGUCUGCCCUCCUCCCCUGGCUCCCAGACCCUUACUGCUUGGCUGCCCUCAGACACAGACGCAUGUGGCUCCCGUGUAAGAAGUCCUUUAUUUCAAUUACAAAAGUGCCACAAGGAAAACUACAGUAGCACAAAAAAAUAAAAAUAAAAAGCCCCUCCCCCUCA
rnacentral:lncRNA from 1 species